rnacentral:lncRNA from 1 species
AAUUUUUGGCUCCAUCUUCAUUUUUGGACAAAGCUUGACCUCUAUGUCGAAAAAUCAAAGUUUGUGUGCCUAUUUCGAAUGAUUUCCUGCAGAAAUCUGAAGACUUUGACCAAGAUUUUCAGAUGAACUUUUGAGAAGAGCAAUUAAAAGUGAGACCUUCUCAUUUCGAUUUUUUUACUUUCUUUUUUGCCAUUUUUUGCUUAAGAAUCUGCUUCAUCUCUGCGUGUGUUGUCAUAUAUUGGAAAUGGCUUCCAACGUUCAAAAUUCAAACGAUCCUUUUUCAAUCAAAAUCCCGCCCAAAUUGAAAGAAGACGAACCCUAGCUCUAAAUCACCUAUAAAUACUCGCAUUCAGCCCAUCUUUAAAAAAAAAAAAACUUUUCCCAGCUGCUCAUACUCUCAUAAGCACUAAUAUUUGCUCUAAAAUAUUUCAUCUUUUCACUCGAGUCUUGAGUGUGUUUAAACUCAUCUUUGUUCGAGUGUAGACUUGUGAUUGAAGUUGGUACUUGUUGCAGACCAUAAUUUGUACAACAACGUACCCAUGGAUAUAGUUUUGGGUUCAUAUAGUUUUAAUAUUAAUUUUUCUAGUGAACUGCUCAUUAAUAUUGGGAAUACAUAGAUUAGGCGCAUACACUAGAUGCACCCAUGGAUAUAGUUUUGGGUUCAUAUAGCUUAAACAUGUUUGGAAUUUGAGUUUAUCUUAUUGUUUAAAAUGUGUAGUGUGGAUUUGCCUCAUUAGUUUGGUUUGAAAAUCUUCAAUUACAAAUGAUUGUUUUAUCCGAUGCUUGCAUAUUUCUUGUUUUGAAUAGUAUUUUUGCU